rnacentral:rRNA from 2 species
CCGACUCACGGAGGCAGCAAGAAGUUAUUACAGAAGUACGGAUAAGCACACGGAACGGAGAAAACUUUAGUCGAAAUUUUUAGAGAGCAAGUACAAGUAGUUGCUGGUACGUGUCUACCAGAAAGGCGAUACUGCAGCAGCAGCCGGUAAUAUGAGAGGCGAGAGUGUCUGGGUAUGUGGUAUACGCGCGCAGUGGUCUUAUCUAUUGAAGCACGCUCUCUGGAGAGUCAUGAAAUGGGAACUAGUGCAGAAGAAGAAAAGGGAAUACCAAGGUAGCGGUGAAAUGUGUAGAGAUUUGGAGGAGCACCACGGGAAGAGACUUUCUGGUUGUAAUCACUGAGCGCGAAGCGUGGGGAGCAAACACGAGUAGAUAUCCUGUAGUGCACGCCUAAACGAGAGUGUAAGUGUUAGAGGGUUCCGCCCUUUAGUGCGCAGCUAACGCAUUAACCUCCCCGGGGAGUACGGCCGCAAGGCUGAAAUCAAAGGAAUUGACGGGGGCCGCACAAGCGGUGGAGCAUGUGGUUUAAUUGAAGCAACGCGAAGAACCUUACCAGGUCUUGACAUCCUCUGACAACCCUAGAGAUAGGGCUUUCCCCUUCGGGGGACAGAGUACAGGUGGUGCAUGGUUGUCGUCAGCUGUGUGUGAGAUGUUGGGUUAAGUCCCGCAACGAGCGCAACCCUUGAUUUAGUUGCCAGCAUUCAGUUGGGCACUUAAGGUGCUGCCGGUGACAAACCGGAGGAAGGUGGGGAGACGUCAAAUCAUCAUGCCCCUUAUGACCUGGGCUACACACGUGUACAAGGAUGGUACAAAGGGUGCAAACCUGCGAAGGUAAGCGAAUCCAUAAACCAUUUCAGUUCGGAUUGCAGGUGCAACUGCCUGCAUGAAGCCGGAAUCGCUAGUAAUCGCGGAUCAGCAUGCCGCGGUGAAUACGUUCCCGGGCCUUGUACCCCCCCGUCCCCCGAGAGUUUGUAACACCCGAAGUCGGUGAGGUAACCUUCAUGGAGCCAGCCGCCUAAGGUGGUCAUU